ACCGACGGGCGCAACGUCAGCUGUCUGUCCUGGAACAAGGCAAACCCGGACCUGAUCGCCGUGGGUUACGGCCAGUUUGGGUUCAACGACCAGAAGGGCGGGCUGGCCUGCUGCUGGUCUCUCAAGAACCCCAAGUACCCAGAGAGAGUGUACCACUGCGCCUCGGGGGUGGUCAGCAUGGACUUCUCCUACCAGAACCCCAGCCUGCUGGCCGUG